AUGCUUUUCUCCACGAUUUCACUUCAAGACGUGGUCACACAGAAUGCCAGUAACGACACGAAAACAAGACAUGACUUAAAUACUUCACAUGCAGAACUUACAUUCUACUGUAAAAGCACGGCAAGGCAAAAACUCAAGUCGGACACACACCUCCCACCCCACCCCCUCCAAGACCCAUUUCUCAAGCAUCAACGCUACCAGAGUGCAAGAGUGACACCGACUGAAACAGUCAGCAACAGGAAGGGAAACACUCCAGAAGAGAUGGACACUGUACGUACCUUCCCACACUGCAACAGNNNNNNNNNNNNNNNNNNNNNNNNNNNNNNNNNNNNNNNNNNNNNNNNNNNNNNNNNNNNNNNNNNNNNNNNNNNNNNNNNNNNNNNNNNNNNNNNNNNNGGGGCGGGGAGGCGCGCUGCAGGGGGGCGCCGAGGAGCGGGUGAAGCCGUCGAGGAGCCAUGUUGGGUGUGGGAACGCUGCCGGGCGGGGGCGGCGCGUUUACACCGCGGCUGGACGGAGCUUCUAACAUUCUACACUCUUCUAAUUCGGUCACUGGUAAAUGCUUCAUUUACGUGUACUGCGCACGUGCAGAACUCGGGGAACGUCGCGGUGCUGACAGACGCUGCUUCAGCUCGGUCGGUGGCUUUUCCCUGCAGGACAAACAAGGUGAGUACACGAGCACUGUGAAGUGACAUCAUGCCUCGAUUCGGGCUCCUGUCGUGAUAGCGCUGGGCAAACGGCGCUCAGUGCUGUGAGUGCUGCGGCAGCUCGGUCGCACCGUGGGCAUUGGGUGGGAAUUGCACACGGCCUGCUGAGCACAAGGGGAUGCGUGGAAAUCGCCCGAUAAUCAGCGGGUGGCUGAGAUUCGGCAGGAGGAGACCUGACACUGGUGCCAGGUAACAAGGGUGAAGGUAAAAUCAAGGUUACAGAAUGUUGGAGUCCUUUUGCAGUUCUGCACGGCAGACCCGACCAAUUUCAGUUUAAAGGGGAAGCUGUGAGUCGAUGAGGUGAAAAUUAUUUACAUCCUACCGGGAUGUGAUGCUGGAGACGGAGCAGCCCGUGGCCUCACUGGGUUUUUCUCUUUGGGUUAUUUUCCACAUAGAGAACAGGUUACACACACCUACAGCACACAGCUCUCCUGCUGUGUCGUGAGGAUCAGAGCGAACCCCAUGGCUGUCUGAACUCUUCAAACCACAGAGGUAAGGUUCCUCAGCACAGCUGGAUCCACUCCUAGUCCCAGACGCGUUCAGGAGUUUGUGCCUGAGGGAUCCUAUAUGCACAAUCAAAGAUGCCACCUUAGUGAAGCUGACAAAGCUCAAACCAAACUGUCAGUCGCUCACUGAGGAUCCGUACCAGCAAGGUGUCUUGACAUCAAGGUGGAAAGGAUCUCUGUGCAGGUGUGACCUCAAGAGGCAUCCCUGCUCAAGGGUGUAGGAAUGGAAUGUUGUUUCUGCAUUAGAUAUUAAAAAGGGGGAAUUGAUCUGAAGCAGCAGAGCACAAUGUACUUGUACUUUGUAACUUGUCCUUAGAAAUAGCUGAUGUGAAAAAGUAGAAAUACCAUAUAUGUUAGUAACGUACUUUAGAAAUACAGUUGCUGAACUGUGUGAUUAAUUCUUGCUUGCAAAACUUCAAUAGCUCUUAAAUGUUCCAAAUAGUAUGGGUAUAGUAUUGUGGACUAGAAAGCAUAUUGUAGGGCUAUUCUGUUUGGAUAAGAGACCCUCAGCAAAAGAAAAACAGACUUAACAAACAUCAAAGAAGCCAGCGCCUCUGCACAAGGCUGGCUUGCCUCGCUCUGUGGGUAGGUUGGGAUGCAACAGGCAGGGAUGAAGACACUCCCCCCAUCCUCCUUCCGAGCUUAUCUCUAUGCAAGGACGAGCAGAUGUCCAGAAACAAGGACUGAGUGUUGAAUGAACAGGUGUGAGAAGCUAACUAAUUAGCAAUAUAUGCUUAGCUAGAAACAAGUGAUGUUCAGCCAGUAUCCAUGUGUUUAGUUGAGCGUCAGGAAGAUUGUGAACCUGCAGUACUCAGCCAAUGGGAACCAGGGGAGAAAGAGAUAAGUGUCGAGUUAUAGGGCGUAAAAGAUGUAACGCUGUGUUCUGCGUGCUCUCCUGCUUGCGUGAGUUAGGAGAGGACAAGAUAAGGGUUUUAACCAUUGUAUAGCAAUGUGAGUUAGGAGAGGACAAGGUUAGGGUUAACCAUUGUGUAGCAAUGCAGGUAAGCAGGAUGUAAGGCCAGAUAAGAAAAGAACAUCUCGAAACUCUGCUGUAAACUUGAAGAAACUUUACACAAGGAACGGGUCAGGAUGGGAUUACUUCUGCUGAAGACAAUGAGCCUUCAUCCCAUGACCACCAGAAGGAGACCCCCACUGCCCGCAGCACACGUGCAAGUGGGAGGGACCAAGUGCUGAUGGGUUCUGGAAAUGUAAUGAAUAUGUAUACGAAUUCCAGGAAAACCAUUGAUUACGCAUUGGUUCGGCCUCUAUCUGUACCAAGCUUUUGCCCUACGUUGUGCAAGUGAGGAGGAAUGAUCCCCCUUGCAGCCGAUGUCUGCGCAGCACUGAUUAAAAUGUAGCUGCUUUCAUAUCUACUUUGUGGUUAUGGAGUUUGAUUCCGCACGUCAGCAGGAGGCCCGGCAUUGCAAUUGCGAAUAAAAUCUGCUUUUUCAGAGAUACCGUCCUGAGAAAUUGUUUGGAUGUUUCCAAACAAGGGCAGAGCUCGUCCUGCAGCCUGCUGCUGUGCAGGAGGGCUUAAGAGGUGCUUGUGCCGCUCUCUAUGUUGGUGCUAAGAUGAUUGACUCAUUGCUGUACUUUGUUUUUAGGCACAUGCUCAGAUGGCCCUCAGCUGUUGAGCCAGAGGUCUGCUGCGAGUUCUUUCAGCCUCCCAGCCUGAGACAGUUUUGUGGUCGCUCAUCUGAUUGAGCCAGGAGUGCUGCUCGCUGUCUUCCUGUGCCAGGCUGAGGGAGGAAGGUGGGAGAAAGGAAGAAAGGAAGAGGAGGGAGCGCACCAUCCCAAUGGCUUUGCUGGGAAGGAAGCCUGGUAAGAGCAGUGCUGCUGGUCUGAGUCCCAGCUGGCUUUUACCCCUGGGCAAUGCCCUGCAGGGGGGCUGGUGAGGGUGGGGGUUGGGCAGGGAUUGCUGCAUUCCCUCACACCUCUCCUGCCUAUUGUUUCCUUUGUCCCAGCAGGCUCCAGUUUAACAUCUGCCUGCAGCAGAGCAGCAACUGGCCACAGCACGUCCAUCUCAGGCAGGGGCUUGGGGACGCAGCCAGAAGAGGGCAAGGAGCGAGAGAUGGGAGUGCAGGGUGAGAGUGAGGUGUCCUCAGCCAGCGUUUGUGUGCUGGGAACAGAGAAGAAGCCGCUGGGAUGGGAGUUUCUCUCCUCUCCAAGCUGCUUCCCUGGGCCUUGGCCAUGCACAGCAAGGAGCACUUGCAGGAGCCCGUGGCCUUUGCAGAGGUGGCCAUGUAUUUCAGCAGGGCGCUGCUGGACCCUGCGCAGCGAGCGCUGUACCGGGCUGUGAUGCUGGAGACAUAGCAGUGCGUGGCCUCGCUGGGUGAGGGCUUUACUGCUGCUCCUUCUUGUUAGGGCAGCCCUGACUGUGCAGAAUGAGCCUCUGCAAGCAGGGCAUAGAAUAAAUGCAGUGCAGUUACUUAUUGGCAAGGCAACAGCAACAGAAGAAACACAGAGAAGCGUGAGUUGCAGAAUUAGCGUGCUCAGUCCCCUGAGAAAAGCCCCAGAGUCACUGCUGCCACACAGGUGUCAGCCGGAGGGGUUGGAUCAGCUCCCUGCAAACAGCCCUUGUGCUGCUGCUCUGCAUGGUGCCACCAGCUCCAGCACCCAGACGUCACACAGAUCACUCCUUUAGAAUUCUGUACUGUUCUGUUCCUUUCCCAUGAACCUUGUUGAAGUGUUGGUAAACAAAGCAUCCUAAAGGGAACGUUGAAGAAAAUGUCCCUGCAUCAUUUUCAGAGACGUAAAAGGCGUGCUGGGCUCCAAAGGAAGUCGGUAUGUGUUGGGCCAGUGUCAUUCAGAAUUGAUACGCUGACAUGCACCGGAGUGGGCUCAUGCUUGACAUCUUGUAAACAGGGUUGAAAAGAAACUUCAAAAUAAACACGCAGCCUUUGUAGGCCCUCCCCUCCAAAAUCCACGCAUUUUGCACGGCCAGAGGUGCCUUCCCAGUCUUCUGUCUGUUGGCAGUUUUACUUUAUCUGUUUUUUCUUCAGAUCACAGCAGAGUGAGUCUGCCUGCGUCAGCAGAAGAGCUGCCUUCGUGGAGGUGCAGUGAAGGUUUCUGACUGACCUGUCCUCACUUUGUAGGAGUUUUGUUUGCUUGCUUAAAUACAGUAAGAUGCUCUCACUGAUGAGUAUGUCCUUUGCCAUAAACAUGCCUGUGGCAAAAUGGUUAUUUUGACAUCAUCCUGCAGUGGCUAGGAUAACCGAGUCUUAGAAAAAUACAGCACCUCCCCCAGAGCUGUGAUGGCCGUGCUGCUGCUUGCUGAUCCUCCCUCUUAUCUGUGCUUUCCUUUACAGGACGCAGUUCUUUAUUAUGGCCCAAGGCCCCGUGGGCUUCUUCUCCUCCCACAAAGCUGCUCAGCCAGGAGGAGGCACAGGCACGGACACGAGGCCACAGCAGCUCCCGUUGUGUCAGACAGCAGAGACGUUGGAGUGGAAGAAGGCCCCACAGCUUUACAGGGGAAAUUGGACACAGUCAGUGACUUUCCAUCCAAAAGAUGAAGAGGAGUUUCUUUUGCAGCACCUAUCAUAAUUGUUUGGGUGUUUUGUUUUUUUCUCCAUUAUUACUGAUGCAAAACUUGCUGAAAC
ensembl:lncRNA